rnacentral:misc_RNA from 1 species
UCUCCGUAGGUGAACCUGCGGAGGGAUCAUUACAGAGUUCAUGCCCUACCGGGUAGAUCUCCCACCCUAUGUUAUUAUUACUUUGUUGCUUUGGCGGGCCGUUAGGCUCCGGCCCGACUACCGGCCCCGGCUGGUAGGCGCCCGCCAGAGGACCCAAAACCCUGAAUAUUAGUGUCGUCUGAGUACUAUAUAAUAGUUAAAACUUUCAACAACAGAUCUCUUGGUUCUG